rnacentral:rRNA from 1 species
UACGUAGGGUGCGAGCGUUAAUCGGAAUUACUGGGCGUAAAGGGCGCGUAGGCGGUCUAUCAAGUCAGGCGUGAAAUUCCCGGGCUCAACCUGGGGGCUGCGCUUGAUACUGAUGGACUUGAAUGCGGGAGAGGAUAGUGGAAUUCCCAGUGUAGAGGUGAAAUUCGUAGAUAUUGGGAAGAACACCAGUGGCGAAGGCGGCUAUCUGGCCCGUGAUUGACGCUGAGGCGCGAAAGCGUGGGGAGCAAACAGGAUUAGAUACCCGGGUAGU